AAGCAGUUACUGUUAACUGAAUACAUAGGUUAACAGAGCAAACCGGGGGAACUGAAACAUCUAAGUACCCCGAGGAGAAGAAAUCAACCGAGAUUCCGGUAGUAGCGGCGAGCGAACCUGGAUUAGCCCUUAAGCACUCGGUGAAGUAGGUGAACAAGCUGGAAAGCUUGGCGAUACAGGGUGAUAGCCCCGUAACCGACGCUUCAUCGAGCGUGAAAUCGAGUAGGGCGGGACACGUGAUAUCCUGUCUGAAUAUGGGGGGACCAUCCUCCAAGGCUAAAUACUCCUGACUGACCGAUAGUGAACCAGUACCGUGAGGGAAAGGCGAAAAGAACCCCUGUGAGGGGAGUGAAAUAGAACCUGAAACCGUGUACGUACAAGCAGUAGGAGCACCUUCGUGGUGUGACUGCGUACCUUUUGUAUAAUGGGUCAGCGACUUAUAUUCAGUGGCAAGGUUAACCGUAUAGGGGAGCCGUAGCGAAAGCGAGUCUUAACUGGGCGCUCAGUCUCUGGAUAUAGACCCGAAACCGGGUGAUCUAGCCAUGGGCAGGUUGAAGGUUGAGUAACAUCAACUGGAGGACCGAACCGACUAAUGUUGAAAAAUUAGCGGAUGACUUGUGGCUAGGGGUGAAAGGCCAAUCAAACUCGGAGAUAGCUGGUUCUCCCCGAAAGCUAUUUAGGUAGCGCCUCGGACGAAUACUACUGGGGGUAGAGCACUGUUAAGGCUAGGGGGUCAUCCCGACUUACCAACCCUUUGCAAACUCCGAAUACCAGUAAGUACUAUCCGGGAGACACACGGCGGGUGCUAACGUCCGUCGUGGAGAGGGAAACAACCCAGACCGCCAGCUAAGGUCCCAAAGUAUUGCUAAGUGGGAAACGAUGUGGGAAGGCUCAGACAGCUAGGAUGUUGGCUUAGAAGCAGCCAUCAUUUAAAGAAAGCGUAAUAGCUCACUAGUCGAGUCGGCCUGCGCGGAAGAUGUAACGGGGCUAAGCAAUACACCGAAGCUGCGGCAAUAUCUUUUAGAUAUUGGGUAGGGGAGCGUUCUGUAAGCCGUUGAAGGUGGAUCGUAAGGUUUGCUGGAGGUAUCAGAAGUGCGAAUGCUGACAUGAGUAACGACAAAGGGGGUGAAAAACCUCCUCGCCGGAAGACCAAGGGUUCCUGUCCAACGUUAAUCGGGGCAGGGUGAGUCGACCCCUAAGGUGAGGCCGAAAGGCGUAAUCGAUGGGAAACGGGUUAAUAUUCCCGUACUUCUGACUAUUGCGAUGGGGGGACGGAGAAGGCUAGGUGGGCCAGGCGACGGUUGUCCUGGUUCAAGUGCGUAGGCUUGAGAGUUAGGUAAAUCCGGCUCUCUCUAAGGCUGAGACACGACGUCGAGCUGCUACGGCAGUGAAGUCAUUGAUGCCAUGCUUCCAGGAAAAGCCUCUAAGCUUCAGAUAGUCAGGAAUCGUACCCCAAACCGACACAGGUGGUCGGGUAGAGAAUACCAAGGCGCUUGAGAGAACUCGGGUGAAGGAACUAGGCAAAAUGGUACCGUAACUUCGGGAGAAGGUACGCUCUUGAUGGUGAAGUCCCU
rnacentral:rRNA from 1 species